rnacentral:lncRNA from 1 species
CUAGGUGGCGGCACAGAGGACUGCCGGACAAGGUAGGCAUGGGGGAUGGUGGCCUUAGGGUGAUGGUGAGGUUCAAAAGUAGGUUCUUGGUUAUGGUAAGCACGUGCAAGCUCUCGGUGUCCUGAGUUCGCGACGAGUACUUACGCUGGACACAAGCAGCAUGCUACACAUAGGCAAGUAGAGCUAAGGGUCAUGGUGGAGUUAGAACACACAUGGCCUACGUGAGCACAAGCAGGCAGAUAAUGCUACAACUUGCAAGGUUUUUUGGCCUGAACACCAACAAGCACAGGUUUGAUGAUAGGUACCCGCUAGGGUUGAUUCCGAUCUUUCAAUGAGAGGAUGUGGGAUAACUCGAUUGGUGGAUGGAGACGAUGUUCACGGCCCGACCAUAACCUUCCAAGCUGCAUCUUAGCAAUCGAUACACCACCUCUAAUGGCUGCCGCAAUCUUGUGGAGCACGUCACCCGGCCUCUAGGGCACUCAUCUUGCAAGCAAUCGAAGAAGUAGCAAGAACAAGUAUAACAAGUACUGAAUUUAUUAGAUGAAGAUGAAGGUUUCAAACUCAAUCUCAGUAAUGAUGGGGUUCCGAAGACAAGAAGACGGACAGUUGAUCCAGCACGCACGCUUACAAGCAAGUAGCGAGAGCUAAACUUGAUC